rnacentral:tRNA from 1 species
GGGGCUGUAGCUCAGCUGGGAGAGCGCGGCGUUCGCAAUGCCGAGGUCAGGAGUUCGAUCCUCCUCAGCUCCACCA